ensembl:lncRNA
UUUUUAAAAUGUAAACAUUCACUGUAUUUUGAGAUCACUCCUCAUAUUUAUAGUUGUUUUACUGUUAUUCAAAGUAACCUUAGGAAAAGUGCAUAUUUGGAUACAUACAGCAGACACUGUGAUCCUGAAACGGAUCCUGGGCUGCAGCAAACACAGGGAUGGAAGCUGUCAUGUUGCUGAGCUUGUCUAUACCACACUAGCCAUCACUGUAGUCACCAGAUGUCUACAGCUGUUGACCCUAUCAUAUGAGACUAGUCCCGUUGGAGAGGUGCUGUAGAUAUAAAAUACACGCUAGGUUUUGAACUCUUAGGACAGAAAAAAGGAUAUGAUGUUUUCUCAUCGGUCACUUUUAUGUAGGGUACAAGUUGAAAUGGUCAUCUUUUCUGUAUAUCAGAUUAAACAAAAGACAUUAUCAGCAUUAAUUUUACCUGUUUAAGAUUACAUAGUUGGUUCACAUUAUAUUUCUUUUGGACAGCACCAGACAGUAGGAUACCUUCCAUGCCAAGACAUCAUGGGAAAGCCCGGAGCAUUUUGAUUCUAACCUCAGAGCCUUUGCCCACACUGUCUUCUCUGCCUGGGAUGCUUUUCCUUCUGAGCUUAGCCUGGUUGGCUUCCGGUAUCACUGAAGUCUCAGUUCUAAGCUUACCUGUUCCAAGAAGCUCUUCCUGACCACCACCCAAAAGAGACCCUUGGUCAUGCCUAACCACGGUCUUUGUUUUGUUUCUUCAUGGCACUUCCCAUGGCUUCAUGUGCCCUUGUUUAUUUGUUUACCGUUACUUGUAGGUCAUCUGGCAUACACACCCUCUGAAAUGGAAGCUCAAGAAUAAGAAUUUCAAUUGUCUGGUUAUUGUUAGUACCCCUAAUGCUUGGAAUAAAAGGAGCUCAUUAAAUGUUGGGUGGAUAAAAGGGUGGGGGUGGUGGAUGGAUGGAUGGAUGGAUGGAUGGAGAGAAGGAUAUAUUGCUGAGUGAGUGGUUACAUGAAUGAAUGAGUGGAUGGGUGGAUGAUGGAGAAGAAUUAAGGGUUGAGGGGUGAAUGGAUAGAUGGAUGAAUAAAUGUGAAUGGGGGAAUAAAAGUGGGUGGAUAGAUGUGUCAAGGUGGACUAAAAUUUAUUUUUCAGUCAUUUCCACCAGAGUGAGAUUUCUUUUCUGUUUCCUAGGUCUUGAAAGGGGACUAUAAAACACCAGCCAAUCUGAAAGGAUAUUUUCAGGUGAACCAGAACAGCACCUCCCACGUAGGAAGCUCGUGAUUUCCAGGUAGGCCUGCUCACCUCACUGGAGGCUCUUGGUGUUUCUGAUCCUGCACACCACCUUUCCGAAUGCCUGUCCUUCAGAAGCCUGCCUGGGGAGAAGUGUCCACCAAGAUCUCUGCAAAUGGCUUUCUUGCCAAGAAGAGAAGAAGCCACAUUCCAGUGGAAAUCAGGCCUCUAAUCCAAGCAUAUUGCUUGCUAUUAAUUGCCAAAACAGGACUGCUAAUGAGGAAUGUAUUUGCAUAUGUGUGCAAAAGCUGAAUCAUUGAAAAUGUUCCUUGAAACUCUCUUUGGACAUUCCCAGCUAGAGAGCGAAGAGUGUGAAAAGUAGUCUGGUUUUUGAAACUUAGGUAUUUCAUAUUUUUCCCCUCAAGAACUUUUUUAAAGAAAUGGAUUUGCCAUCCUCCUUAAUUUUCAGGACUGCCUUGGUGGCUUUGUUUGCUGAGACAAGGCCCACAACCUGUGCCUCGCCUGUUAACCCUUACUUUGAAUUCAAAGAAUCUAUUUAAGAAUCUAAUAUAUGAGACUUUCUUUGAUUUCUCCUCAUUCUACUCAGCUUAACAGAGAUAAAGAAAUUAUUUGAAUAAACUGAACAGAGGCUCA